rnacentral:rRNA from 1 species
GUGCUUGCACUAGAAAACUUAGCGGCGAACGGGUGAGUAACACGUAAAGAACCUGCCUCAUAGACGGGGACAACUAUUGGAAACGAUAGCUAAUACCGGAUAACAGCAUAAAUCGCAUGAUAUAUGUUUAAAAGUUGGUUUCGGCUAACACUAUGAGAUGGCUUUGCGGUGCAUUAGCUAGUUGGUGGGGUAAAGGCCUACCAAGGCGACGAUGCAUAGCCGACCUGAGAGGGUGAUCGGCCACACUGGGACUGAGACACGGCCCAGACUCCUACGGGAGGCAGCAGUAGGGAAUCUUCCGCAAUGGGCGAAAGCCUGACGGAGCAACGCCGCGUGAGUGAAGAAGGAUUUCGGUUCGUAAAGCUCUGUUGUUAGGGAAGAAUGAUUGUAUAGUAACUAUAUACAGUAGAGACGGUACCUAACCAGAAAGCCACGGCUAACUACGUGCCAGCAGCCGCGGUAAUACGUAGGUGGCAAGCGUUGUCCGGAAUUAUUGGGCGUAAAGCGCGCGCAGGUGGUUUAAUAAGUCUGAUGUGAAAGCCCACGGCUCAACCGUGGAGGGUCAUUGGAAACUGUUAAACUUGAGUGCAGGAGAGAAAAGUGGAAUUC